rnacentral:rRNA from 1 species
UACGAAGGGGGCUAGCGUUGCUCGGAAUCACUGGGCGUAAAGCGCACGUAGGCGGAUCUUUAAGUCAGGGGUGAAAUCCUGGAGCUCAACUCCAGAACUGCCUUUGAUACUGGGGUGCUCGAGUCCGGAAGAGGUGAGUGGAACUCCGGGUGUAGAGGUGAAAUUCGUAGAUAUUCGGAAGAACACCAGUGGCGAAGGCGGCUCACUGGUCCGGUACUGACGCUGAGGUGCGAAAGCGUGGGGAGCAAACAGG